CCGUCCUUUCUCUCGCAGGCGCAACGGUGUCGACUGCUCAUGACGAGAGCUGCUGGAAGGACGACGACCACCACCCUAUCUGCUUUCCCGAAGACUGCGUGGCGACCUGCCAGGAUCACGGCCACGCGGACGGCCGCUGCAACUGGGCAUGGUCGUGGAGGCCGUAUUGCCAGUGCCUGUUGGCGGACUGCCAAUAGGCGCGAACAGCUGCGUCGCAUGGCGUCCUGGCUGCCUCGCCGGCCGAUGAAGGAUGAACGGUGCGGCCGAUGAUCGAUGUGUCCGUCGGCAUGUCGAUCACUCAUUGAAACCCCCUCUAAUCCUGUGCGGUAUUAUUUCAUGGCACCUGUGGCCAUUAAAGAUCCAUGGACACGUACAGUACCAAUACAUGAUUCUUCACAGUUCAACUAUCGAUGAUACUGUUCAUGGAUUUUCAUUCCGAUACAAACUCAUUUCGUGGUUAUUUGGAUGUCUUAAAUUAAAUACAGUUUUAGCAAAAAAAACAUGUUUUCACAGAUUUUUAGAAAAAAACAAAUUUAUUAUGUAUUUAAUUGAAAUUCAUUUGGAUGGAAAUAAUAUAAAACUAGUAAAAUGCAUGAUGUUGCAACGACACACAAAUAUUUAGAUACAAAACUCAUUUCGCGGUUAUUUGGAUGUCUUAAAUUAAAAUACAGUUUUAGCAAAAAAAACAUGUUUUCACAGAUUUUUAGAAAAAACAAAUUUAUUAUAUAUUUAAUUGAAUUCAUUUGGAUGGAAAUAAUAUAAAACUAGUAAAAUGCAUGAUGUUGCAACGACACAUAAAUAUUUAGAUGCUAUAGAGUUAAGAAAUUGAUAGUUAAUGUACACAACAACUGCAAGAAGGAAGUGUUAGUGGUAGUUGUAUUUGGUUGCGAUGCAAAAGAUAAGAUUUAUCUUAUCUCUGUGAAUAGCUCGUAUCUAUAUAACUCUCCAUAUAUAUUGUUCUCUGAACAUACAGAGUCUCAGUGUGUAUUACAUGGUAUCUUAGUUGUCUCUUGUAUUUAGAAAACCGAUCUAAAGUCUCUGAGUUGUACAUGCCUUUAUGGUUAUGGGCUGAUAGCAUUUAACGUAAUUGGCAAUAUGUUGCCUCACAUUCAAACAUUUCCUGCUUUCCCUUUUUACGAUGAACACAAACGUAGCAAACCGAAUCCUAUUUGGUGAUGACCACAGAACUCAUCGAAAUCCUAGCCUUCGCCCCUUCUAUUUUUCGAAUCAUGCGUUCUUGUCGAUGACCUGGGGAGGCAUCUUUGUCUAUCCACAGCCUGAGGCUGAUUUGAACCAUUCUCUCUCUCAUCUCCCUCUAUUCGCACUUUCUACUCAUUUUUCAAAAUACCUCACAAUCCUUCCUUCCUCUCCUUAUUUCUCACCUUCUCCAACCAUCCCCCUAUUCAACUCCUUCUUUAUACUUUGCUGAGGUAUUUAACUUUUAUAUAUCAUUUUUGGAGUUUUAAAAAAAUUGAACGAUAUUUGUAGUACUACAAUACACAUUGUUACCUAGUAAUUAAAAUUAAAAAUAAUUAAUUUCAUAUUUAAUAUCAAUGAUUAGUGAAGGUAGUGAAGGGGGGAGAUUAGAGCUGCCCUUUACAGGGCCUUUUUCCUGACGCACAAAGAAAAGGGGGAGGGAAGAGGGAAUCAUUGGAACGAUCCAAGAAGUAGGAACGAUUGUGUGGAUCGUUAGAGUCGGUCUGACCUCCCUUUUGUGGUGCCCAAGCUCCUCCAGCUUCCCCCAUCCAGUCAAGUACCUCCACGGUCAACCACGACCUUCACAACCAGGUGCAAAUAAGUGAUUUAGGGUGUUACUAGAUGGAGUAGCGGUGCAAAUAAGUGAUUUAGGGUGUUACUAGAGGGAGUAGCGGGAGUUUGCUAAUUCUUGCUGGCUUUUUGACAAGUAUAAGAGAUUCUACAAGCUAGUUGUUCACUGUUGAUGUAACCGUGCCAUUGUCCAUGGUCCAUGGAGGGUGAGCUCAUCAAUCUUCAUAUUUUUUGCAGUUCAUUAAUAUGCAACUUAUAGUUUAUAUUUGUGUAUCUGAAAAGGGAAAUGGGAAAUUAAGCCAUUUCUAUAAGUUUUGGUGAUUGAAUUACCAACACAACAUCUAAGACUAACCGAUUUGCUAAGUCUAUGAACAUAGGUUCACUCAAGUGCAAAUUGAAGAUCUCAAGUCCAAAUGGGCUCAAAGAAGGACACAAAGUGCAACAUUUUGAAAAAGGAAAAAACAAUAAGGUUUGAACCUUUGAAUAUGUUGCAUACACCUAUUAGAAUGUUUUCUAGCACUUGGUUUGCUCUAUAAUACAAGUUCUAGCAAAAAUACCUUUUGGACUUAUGUUUGAGUUGAAACAGAAAAACUAAAAGGGAGAUGAGCUAAAGGUAUGAACCUAUAACUUAAGCAAGUCAAACAUACUCUAAAUAUGUUUGUCUAAGUCACAAAAUAGCUCCCAAGAUCGUACAAUACUAAUUGGUGAAGAUUUUCUCAAAAGAGCAAAGUCUGGGUUGUUCUAGGACUCGCCGAACCGGUCCGGAGGUGCACCAGACCAUCUGUCUAGGGAGCCCCUCCGAAGGCUUGAUUUGUCUAGGGUAUCGGACCCUGGGUCCUAUGCAUCGGACCUCGUCGUAUAGAAAAUACUUGACUUUAGGAAAAUUCUUUUAAAAUCAUCGGAUCUUCUACAAUAGUGGUCUGGGGGUGCAUCGACCUCGCGGUAACGGCUACUUCGGGUGCGUAACAGCUACUUCAAUGGUCUGAUGACACAUGGCAGUCUGAUGGUGGACCAAAUUGGUCCGAUGCUAGCUCGAGAUGGAAGGGUCCAAUCGAGAUCCCAAAGGAGAUGUUCCUGUUCUCUGUCCAGUGGGGCACCAGACCAGUCCGGUCUGCCUGCGUAGUGCAUAAUUCCAACAGCUUCCUCAUUGGCUAUUUGGGGGCUUGGGUCUAUAAAUAUACCCCAUUUCGACCCCCCUCAACAUCAAGUCACUCAAGAGCAAGUACUUCAUUCCUACGCAUUAGAGAAACAUGUCAAAGUUAUCCGAGCACCCAUUAUAGUGAGAUUGAGUUGUGUUGUUGUCAUGCAAUUGUGUUCUUUCUUUGAGGUGUUGUUCUUGUGCUUUUGUGUUGUUCUACUCAUCUCUCUUGCUGCUCUUUGGAGUUAUUACUCACAUCAACCGUGUAUGGCUGCAAGAGACUCCGAUCUGUGUAGAUCCUUGUGAGGAGAAUCUAUAGGAAGAAUCGUGGCCUCAAGUUGAUCAUUAGAUCACUUGAGAAGGGUUGGUUCUAACCCUCGUCCUUUGAACACUACAACGUGGAUGUAGGCAAGCAUUUGGGGCUUGUCUGAACCAUAGUAAAAAUCGUUGUGUCUUGUGUGCUUUCAUUCCUUGCGAUUUAUUCUCCCUUCCUUAUUCUAAGUUCUUGAUUUCACUUGUCAUAUUGCUCUAAGUUAUAAUUUUGCAUCUAAAAAGAGCAAUCAAUUGAAAGAACUUGUUGGCAGGCUGCCUUGCCGAAGGUCCUCAAAACACCUUACCUUCGAUAUAAGCAAAUGUGUUUCACAUGUAUAGAAAAGGAUGGAUGAGGAUGGCCUUCGGCCGAAGCAGCAUGCAAAGAAGCUUCGGCUGGACGCGUGUGUGGCGAAGGUGCAAGCCGACUUUGGCGUAGAAAAGGCUUCAUGCAUGAAACGACGAAUGAGAAGAAGUCUAAGACUUAUGCAGCAAGAAAGGAAGGGAAAAGAAAUGAUUCCCUAUGUUAUUUGUAAACCGUGUAAUCUUUGUUAGCAUGCUUGUAGUUUCUUACGAAGUUGUACCUCUUCCCUAUAAAUAGGUGAACAAUACCAUACAUAAAUUUACCUUCCGAGGGCCUUUAACUUCGCCUCACUUAGCCUUCGAAGCAUAUUUGAGCUAUCUCGUGUGUGAAACCGAAGGUACGUUUGUAAACUUACUUUACAUGGAGAAAGAUGGGAUGUGAAAUGAUAAGGCAUACAAGAUGAGUGUCACACUACGAUGUCUAUUCCCAUAUUAAACAUUAUUACUUCGUCUACAUUAUCACUUUAAUACCUUCUUCUUUAAGUUACCCAAAGAAUAGGUAACUUAAGGGUGAAGCUCUCAACCUUUUAACUUGUGUUGCCUUUUUUAUAACAUGAAGCAAUAAAAAAUAAGUGACAACAUAACUUCUCUUCCUUUCACUCUAAUUUUAUCUAUAUUAUUGUGCUAACGUCUAAUUUAGAUCAAGUUUAUGUUUAAGUUAUGAAUUUUAGGUGUCACCUAUUCAUCCCAUCUAGGUGAAAGUCAGUAUCUACUUGCGUGUAGAAGGUUGUAAGUGUUCUGGUUCAUAGCCACCAUGAGAGAUGCAAAAAAUUAAANNNNNNNNNNNNNNNNNNNNNNNNNNNNNNNNNNNNNNNNNNNNNNNNNNNNNNNNNNNNNNNNNNNNNNNNNNNNNNNNNNNNNNNNNNNNNNNNNNNNGCUUUACAACGCAGCGAGGGUGCGUUUUCUGGCCUCGGCGGCCGCAGAAGGCACACGCUACAAGAUAAUCUGAUCUGCAGGCUCGGGUCUUCACGCUGAAGGGGCUGUAGCGCCUCGGCAUCGAUCGACGCCUUAGCAAGGUCCGACCCAGCCUGACGGCGACGCGGUCCAGGGACUUCUCCGGGAAUCCGGCCCGAGCAGGUGGCUCGGCGCGGUUACCCCUGGGGCUCGGCCAAGCAUCUUCCAAGGGCGCCAGCCCGACCGAGGCCUCGGCUGAUCGACUCCGGCGUCAGCCCCGCUGACGGGCAACCCGGCUAGGCUCGCCAACCAGGUUCCCAUUUUCGAGCAACUCCGCCUCUGUUCGUACUGAUAUCGCUACCCUGGCCUCGGCUCAUGAAGAGCGGCCAAGGGUCCCUUAACUAAGCUAGAGGAGCCUCAGACAACAAGGCCGAUCGAGCCGAGGGAUUCCUACGCUCCGGGAUAACGGAUCCUCAUCGUCACCUUGACACGGGGCACUCAUGCCUGGUGAAGCGGUUCAGAUAAUCAACAGGCGAGACUUAGUGCUCGAAAAUAAGGAAGAAAACACGGCUCCGUGCCGAAUUACAUACAUGUUCAGGCCCGACAGCCACAAUGAACAAAAAACACUGGCAUUCAAGUGCCAUUACAAACGGAACUCCGGUUCCCCCUCCGCAGGUACGAACAACCCACUCCGAGGGGGAAGGCCUGCGGAGCAACGGAAGGCCGACGAACGGCGCGCCGUCACCUGCUCCAGCAGGGACGACGACGACUUCUGCUCCGGGGGUCGAACAGCGGCAGCGCCGACCUCAGGCGGGUGCUGCUGCCAGGAGCCCCGCCCACGCCAAAACUUGUGAGGCAAGGGGGGCAGAAGUCCGCAGAGUUGAAGGUCGGUCCGUGCCAGCCUUGGCUAUCUCACCGCAGAAGAACCUCUUCAAGCUGCCGUGGCGGAGCCGCCGCCGCGAGCGGCUCCAAAGCCACUCGCGUCCGAGAGCCAGGCACGGUGUAGCUGCCAGCGCCACGGACGACGACCGCCCUCCCUCUGAUCACUGAGUGAAGGAGCGGGCCGCCGCCCACGCGGGGCCGACCUCAACUCGGCGCACUCCCUCCCCAGCCCUGGUGAUGAAAAUCCUUGAGGCUGAGGGAGGGGCAGAGGCCGCAGCCCGGCUCGCUUUCCCCACAUCAAGCCGGAGGUCACCAUCCUGGGUGACCGCCGGUGGGGGGAUGCGGCCUAGCUGCAUGAUGAAAAUCCUUGAAGCCGAACGAUGGCUGAAAGGUACCAACUCCCACGGAGUUGCGUUCCUCAACGAGGAGGCGAAAGAUGGCGGAUACCCCCAUGCCGGGGCUUGGAAGAUGGAAAGACACGACGCAUAAGGGAGGAAAGAAGACAUGGUUCCUUCCAAAAGGGGUCGCCCCCUUUUAAAGGCGACUCUCCCUAUGUGCGCCCCCAACGCCACGGGCCGAGUCUUCUCCAACACGCUCCAAGGCCCUCCCUGCGGCGCGGGGGCUGGGUCCCGCAUGUCAUGCAAACCGGCUCAGAGCAGAAGAAGCCAAACCGCCGCGCGUGGUGCACGCAACCGCCCAGCGGUUACAAGCGACCCCCCACUUUUGCCCAGACCAACGGGCGGAAGGGGCGGGCAGCCAUGCAGGUGGCAUGCAACCGCGCCAGGUGGCACGCUUCUUCGACUCCUGACACGCAGCUUGGAGGCCCAGGCCCACGCGUCACGCAACCAGCGCGCCAGUUGCUACAUGCAAGCAACCGCAACCGCCACUUGUACCACGUCGCACCUCUUCGGUUGCGGACCUAUCCGCGACUCGAGCGCCCAGCGCACGACCCAGCAGCGCCAGCCUGGCGCAACGGUCAAUACGGCCGAAAGUGGGCCGACAGUAAUGACGGUGGCAGGCGGCGGGAGCAGCGGUCACGUCGUCAGCCAGGCUCACGUCCCAUCCGGGGACAACAAGAAGCCUCCUCCCCGGCGUGAAGACGGACGCCCGUGAUCCGUUCCUCGAACGGCUCGCGCACGCGCAACGGCCGCCCGCCAACCACUCGCCCCGUCGCAUUAACUCCCGGCGGAAACGCGGCGCCUCUGGUAGGAGAAGCGGGCGACGCUUCGCCUUCGCCGUAAUAACCGCGCCAAAAAGGUACGCCACGUCGUUCGAUUUCGUAUCCUUUUCCUUUUUCCCUUUCUCUAUCUCUUGCAACAGGGACCGGGAAAGGGGAUACCCCGAAAAGGAUCCUUCCUGUGAAGGAACCGGGCUCCGAGCCCCCUACUGAUCAGAGGUUCGAAGGCUGGCCCUCCGAGGGGUUCAACAGUCGCCUCAGAUCCGUGGGCCCUACACCCACUACUGGUCAGAGGUUCGAAGCCGCCCCCCGAAGGGCUCCACGGCCGCCUCAGGCUACUCGGGCUCCGCGCCCAUUACUGAUCAGGGUUCGAAGGCUGGCCCCCGAAGGGUUCACAGUCGCCUCAGACCCGAGCGAGGAUGACCAGGGUACGUUCGAUACAUAACCAGGCUCGGGCUGCGCUCCCGAGGUACCCUAGGACAUUUCCGAGACCAGCGGGAACGAUCUUGUAACGGAAUCCCAUCGGAGGGAGGCAUCGAGCCCUCGACCCCGUCGCCAGGGGACCGGGUCCGGCAGAUCACCCGCAGGUACUUUUGGGCGUGCCUCUGGGCCCUAGCCGACCCCCAACGAACGGGGCACGGACGUCCACUCGGAUUACCCGCUUGCAGCUCACCGGAGACACCAUGUUCGGUGCCCAUCGAGGGUAACAUGGCGCUCUCCCCCCUCCUCCUUGCGGAAAGGCGACGCAGGGGCGUAUGUAAAAAGCCGAGUCUGUCCUGAUCGCCUCUCGCCUGUGCGGAGGCUCGGGGCUGCUCUCGCAAACCCGGCUCCGGCCAACCGUGACAGCGUCAACAUACCAGCCCGAGACUUGGGCCCCGACCGUGCACCCGGGCUACGGCCAGUUCGCAUGAGGGAACACCAGACCAGCCGAAGCAUUACGCAAGGCAUUAAGACCUCGAAGGAGUGAACACUCCUCCGAGGCCUCGGGGCUACACCCGGCGGGUGCGCUCGCGCGCACCCACCGGAACAAAAUGCAACGAGAAAGGCUGGUCCCUUGCAAAAAAGUGCGACGAAAGCCUCCAAGCGAGUGCUAACACUCCUUCGAGGCUCGGGGGCUACUGUCGGGGACAUAAUUAGGGGUACCCUCAAGACGCUAAUUCUAGCUGGUAACCCCCAUCAGCAUAAAGCUGCAAGGCCUGAUGGGUGCGAUUAAGUCAGGGAUCAGUCCAUACGAGUGACUCGAUCACGCUUCGCCCGAGCCUAGCCUCGGCCAAGGGCAGCCGACCUCGAGGGACUUCCGUCUCGCCCGAGGCCCCCCUUUUUACGGCGGACACAUCUCCGGCUCGCCCGAGGCCUUGGCUUCGCUAGAAGCAACCCUGACUAAAUCGCCGCACCGACUGACCGAGUUGCAGGAGCAUUUAACGCAAAGGUGGCCUGACACCUUUAUCCUGACGCGCGCCCCCCGGCAGAGUCGAAGUGACCGUCGUCACUCCGCCACUCCACUGACCGGUCUGACCAGGACAGCGCCGCCUGCGCCACUCCGACUGCAGUGCCACUCGACAGAGUGAGUCUGACAGCAGUCAGGCCUUGCCAAAGGCGCCAUAGGAAACUCCGCUCCGCCCGACCCAGGGCUCGGACUCGGGCUAAGACCCGGAAGACGGCGAACUCCGCUCCGCCCGACCCCAGGGCUCGGACUCGGGCUAAGACCCGGAAGACGGCGAACUCCGCUCCGCCCGACCCAGGGCUCAGACUCGGGCUAAGACCCGGAAGACGGCGAACUCCGCUCCACCCGACCCAGGGCUCGGACUCGGGCUAAGACCCGGAAGACGGCGAACUCCGCUCCGCCCGACCCAGGGCUCGGACUCGGGCUCAGCCCAGAAGACGACGAACUCCGUUCGCCCGACCCCAGGUCUCGGACUCCGCCCUGGCCUCUGCCGAACAAUCUCCGCCUCGCCCGACCCGGGGGCUCGGGCUCGCCUCGGCAACAGAAGACAGACUCGACCUCGGCUUCGAGGAGCCCCCACGUCGCCCGGCCUAAGGACGCAGGCCCGCCACGUCAACAGAAGCGCCAUCAUCAUCCUCCCCCGAGCCAACUCGGGUCACGGAGAAAGACCGGCGUCCCAUCUGGUAGCUCCGCCAGACGGGCAAUGAUGGCGCCCCACAAGCUCUGUGACGACGACGGCUCUCAGCUCUCUUACGAAAGCGGGGCGACGUCAGCAAGGACUCGACCGCUCCGACAGCUGUCCCUCUGCCAGGCUCCGUUGCUCCUCCCGACAGCCACGACAUCAACGCCAGCAGGGUGCCAAGAUCUCUCCGGCUGCCACAUUGGCAUGUACUUAGGGCGCUAGCUCUCCCUCCGCUAGACACGUAGCACUCUGCUGCACCCCCCAUUGUACACACUGGUCCUCUCCUUACGACUAUAAAAGGAAGGACCAGGGCCUUCUCAGAGAAGGUUGGCCGCGCGGGGACGAGGACGAGACAGGCGUCUCUUGGGGCCGCUCGCUUCCCUCACCCGCUGGACGCUUGUAACCCCCUACUGCAAGCGCACCUGACCUGGGCGCGGGACGAACACGAAGGCCGCGGGAUCUCCACCUCUCUCACGCCCGUCUCCGGCCACCUCGCCUCUCCCCCCUUCGCGCUCGCCCACGCGCUGACCCAUCUGGGCUGGGGCACGCGGCACACUCACUCGUCGGCUCGGGGACCCCCCGGUCUCGAAACGCCGACAGAUUCCUUGGCUAUUUUCAGUACUAUAAAUAUUUUGUAAGUAACCAGAAAUUUUCCUUUUAAAGGCUGCUAAAAAGUAAAAACAUAUUGAUCAGUCACAGAAUUAGCACACAUAACUUGAAACAUAAUUUACUCAAACCUCUGCAUUUACUUUUUAGAAAAAGUUUUAACACAUGACGUAGAAAUAAAGAUAGGUUCAAACAGUAACAAAACGGACCUCUCUAAAACAUUUUUAUACGCAAUAUAUAAUGUUGCAUCGACAGUUGUUAUUAUCCGUUGACAAUAAUAUAUAGUAGAAACACAGACAUCUACUCUAAACUUAACAAUUGCUUGUAUACUUGUAUCGAUCUUGCAUAUAUGGAAGCCGUCAAACUACAAUCAGUAAUUGCAUUCUAUCACUCUAAAGUACAAAUAUUUUUACCUUUUCUUAGCCUGUCUCUUAAUAGCUGAAUUUUGGAACAGUGAUAGAUAAUCUAAAUCAAUGAUACAUGACUCGUAUAAAAGAAAGCUUAUGGCAACACAAACAUUUUCAUACAGCGCAGAAGAAAUCAGAGCACCAAAUCAAAGAUAGUUGCACGCCAAAUUGAACCUUUAAUAAUAAGUGCAAACUGGAAUCAUUUAGGAGAUGCAGAUUUCACUAACCGUGCUGAUGUGAUCCUCGUGCAGUGCUCCAGGACCAAGACCCUGGUCCUCCUCAACUGCCUCGACACCAAUCUGUUGCAGGGUAGACCAAAUCAGAGCACCAAAUCAAUGAUAGGUGGACGCCAAACUAACCAUCACACUUCUCGAUUUUCCAGUCAAGAUUGCUAAGAAAUAUAAGGAAGAACCCAAUUGAUGUUCUUGGCUGUGCACAAGGGAAAAGAGGCUCCUUUGAUGCACUCACCCUUGGGAUCGAAGCACGCGGCGACGCUCGGUGGAGUCGCAGAUCACGAGCCGUGCAAGCAGGCUGGCCCUCCACAUCCGCUUCUGCGCGGUGGGGCGAAGCCCAUCCAGCGCGAACCUGACUCCGUGACCUCCCACCCUCCUCUGCUUCUUGCCUCGCCCUGCCCCUUUCUAUACCAAGACAAGUGAGUUUGGCGAGGACGGUCUCCUCAGACUUCCUGGUGGAGAGCUCGAGGACGGGGUCGGGGUUGACAUCGGCUUCAGAGGCGCGGUCGGAGAGGGCUCUACUAAGGUGGAGGUGGCAGAAGGGGCGUCUUCGUGUCGGGCGACUCGGCCGGCGGCACCAUCGCGCACCACGUGGUCGUGCGCUUCGGCGGCUCGCCCGCGGACCUGGCCCCGUCGCCGUGCGGGGAUACGUCCAGCUCAUGCCCUUCUUCGGCGGCGUGGCGCGCAUGCGGUCGGAGGCCGAGUGCCCCGCCGACACCUUCCUCGACCGGCCCCUCAACGACCGCUACUGGCGCCUGGCGCUGCCGGAGGGCGCCACGCCCGACCACCCCGUGGCCAACCCGUUCGGCCCGGGCGCGCCGCCGUUGGACGCCGUCGAGUUCGCGCCCACCCUGGUCGUCGUCGGCGGCCGCGACCUCCUCCACGACCGCGCCGUCGACUACGCCGCCAGGCUCAGGGCCGCCAGGAAGCCCGUCGUGGUUAGGGACUUCCACGGCCAGCAGCACGGAUUCUUCACCAUCGACCCCUGGUCCGACGCCUCCGCCGAGCUCAUGCGCGUCAUCAAGCGCUUCGUCGAGGCGGUUGCCGAGGGGAGGGGGAGAAGACGAGGCGGCGGAGCGCACGGAGGGAGAUGGAUGGGAGAGCCAGCCAGCCAGGUGCGCGACGGGAGAGAUGGCAUUUGGAGGGGACGAACUCAGAGCGAGAAUUGAUAGAGUUCGGGUCCGUGGCUAGACACGCGUCAAAUGCGCGAUGGUCGGAGACCCGUGAAGCGCGGAGAAGAGCCGAAACCCGAGCGUCUUUUAACUAAAGGUAAUUCAUUGCUUGCUCGACCAAAUGAUUCUUUCUAAGCCUAGAAUGUUAAGAGCCAACCAUGUAUAAUACAUAACAAAAUAUCUAGUAUGAGGACGCACCCAGAGAGAACAAAUAAGUUGAUUACUCAUUGAGCUCUAAUAAUCAUGUGUCAUUUGACCACUACCUAGCAGAGUAGCAGUUCAACUAGUAGGAUAACCUGUUUCAAUAGACAAACAACUUUUUUUAUACAAAAGUAGACCCCACAUCCUAGUUUUUUUAGAUCAACAUAAAGUAGGAUAUGCCAUUGAGAGAUCAGAGAUAUGCUAUAACAUCAUACUCGAGGACAAGAAAAUGUCGGUCAAAAAUCACCAAAACAAAGUCAAAAUCUCCCUCUCCCCUUUAUCACAGCACACCCUGCGAAGAUCUGAACCAAAACACCACGGAUGUCUAACCCUAUGACCUCCUCGAGCUAGAACAUAAUACUAACACUAUCACCAACAACUUAUCCUCCAUCCCUAUAUUUAAACUUCACUUUGCGAACAAUGCAGUCUACAGUACAAAAUAAUGUUUUAGAUAACCAUAUAGAUAAAUUACUGAACACGGUCUAUUAGAGGCUAAUCGAGUACACAUCCAAAAAGUGGAUCCAAUACUUGGAGCAAUAAAAGACUAAGGCAGGUACAAAAGCAGAGAAAAGAGAUCGAACACGCAUCAUAAGAUUUCCCUGAGGGCCUAUUUGUUUAAUCCCAAUUCAUAUGAAUUGAAGAGGAUUGAGUAGAUUUAAAUUCUAAAUAAAUUAAAAUAUCUUCUAAUCCAUAUAAUCCACGUUGGACGGAAAUAACCGAAAAAAUGUUUGAGGUGCUCAAAAACCUUAGUCCAUGUCCACAAAGAGGAUACACAACGAGGACGAAGCAAUAACUGUGUCACGCUGAGAGCAACUCCAAGAGAUUAGCUAAAAAGACUAAAUAGAUUUUAUAGAAAAAGAGUAGGUUAAUCCAAUAGACUCGAUAAACCUAUGAACUGAACAGAAUGGAGAGUAAAAUAGGUGAUUCAAAAAUAGAGAACGGACGUAGAGAGAUAGAUAGAGAGAAACUAAAUUUGAAGACAAAUCAGGUCCACAGCGCACAAAUCACAUCUGAUCCGAUUAGAGUUUAUUGGCAGCUCCACAGCGCACAAAUCUCAAAGACAAAUCAGGGUCAGCUAAAAAAAUAAAAAUCAGGCAAAAGUAAAAGUGUUACAAUACAGUAGAUGAAAGUAAAACACAUAGACACCAGAAAUAGCGAGUCUAUUCUUUAUUCUGAAUAUUUAAUUAAUAAUUACAACUUAGAGCUUCCGACAAGAUAUAAGAGUUUGGUAAAAGCUAACGUACAAACUGAUUAGGAUAUUGUUGGACACCAAAAGAGGGCGGCGGUCCGCGGUCCGGACGGUCCGCGUCUAUGGCCGGACGGUCCGCGCAAGCGCCGAACAAAUUAGGGUUCCGAGUUUUUUGCUAUGUUUGUUGCCGAGAAUCUCGGGAUAAGCUCGGAAAUUAGUUUGUAAAGGGUUCAGCCCCCCUCCUCUAUAAAUAGAGAGGUAUACGGCCGAUUUAUCAUCAUCAAUCGAAUCAAUACAACUUCUAUUCGCAUUUAUUUUCCAGUACAAUUAGGAGUAGCUCUAGUUUAGUUCUAGUUUAGCCUCUUGAUCCCCAAAUUCUUCGCCUCUCUUCGACUCUACGCCGAUUAGAGGGUCUAGGUCGGCCGGCCCAAGCCUAGACAACCCCUAGGAUCUCUCCUCCCGACGGGGUCCCUCCCGGGAGCGAGAUUCAGGCCGCCGCAGGCGACUUCUGCCGCCCCUGCGCACGCGCGGACCGUCCGGCCCCAGGGCGCGGACCGUCCGGCCGUCAGGCAGGAAACCCUAGCCCCAGCGCCAGGUCGCGGACUGUCCGGCCCCAGGUCGCGGACCGUCCGCGCCUGACCAGAGAGCACCGCCGCCGGUUCUUCUUGAGUAUUUGGCACUCCGAAAAGGCGUCAACAUACUUUUUGGCGACUCCGCUGGGGAAAACACAUAUAGACCUAUCAAAUCGGCCCUCAAUGGCUGGUUCAAAGGAUAGCUCUGAAGUUUCCACAAGCAAUAUCAUCACGCCGACAUGGGAAACCUUGCCGGCUGAGGAACAACUCCUGUUCGAGGAGCGCCAGGAGCAGCUGAUCCAAGAAGCAAAGGCGAAGUUCCUGGCCGACUUCAAGGUGGACAGGAACAACAAAGUCGUUCGGCAACGGGCGACAGAUCUGGCUUCGCUCCGACCUACUACGAUUAACCCCAAUGUAAGUAGCACCAACGAACUCCAAUCUCUUAAAGCUUACAUAGACGGACAACGAGACCAGUUGCAACGUAUCGUAGGGGAUAUACAAAACGAUCAUAACAGGCUAGUGUGUGCGCUUGAUAAGUCUACUAUGGCAAAUCUUCCUUCGCACGAGGUUGAAUUGAGGUAAUACACACGUAAUUCAUCGGCUACAGGGUGCCACGACCAGUCACAACCCCUUUAUGGGAUGUCGAUAGACAUGUACCUUGGGCAACGACAGCCUCCCACGCACAUCGGCGAUAAAUUUGCCGAUCUGCGCAUGUCCGGACCGUCCGCACGUGAGCGCGGACCGUCCGGGCCAGCAGCGACCGAUCCCAUUUUUAGAAGCGAAUUACCGAGACCUGCACCCAAGCCGCCACAUGCCAUGCAAACCCUAGAUAACCCAUUCGGACCGUCUGCGUAUGGCGCCAGACAGUCCGAAUAUAAUGUCGGACGGUCCGGCCACAUGGCCGGACAGUCCGCGCACGGAGCCGGACGGUCCGCGUAUUUAACCGGACGGUCCGACACAGAGUUUUUUGAGAAAGAUGGAUAUCCAACUCCGUAUCCGUCCCAGCUAGACUCCCAUCUCACCAUACGACACACCAGCACCAUAAUAUAAUCUAUCAAACCCGUGAGAGUGAGUACUUUCCGGCCCCUAGAAGGCCAGAAAGGAAUGGCCAGUCCUAUGAGCCUCAUAGGGCAUGCAUUAACACGCCGCAAAACCCAAACCAAUGGGGAGGAAAACAACAUACCAACAUCCAAACAAACUCACCCAUAUUGGGUCAAAGAGCCGGUGGUCUCCCACCGGCUGCCAUCGAUAUAGUAAGGGAAGAAAUAGCUGGGGCGUUCCGAGAUAAGCUCGGAGUUAGUAUAGUCCCCGGGGGCAGUCAUAUCGGAGACCUUAUGAUAGCCAGUUUGACCAGCUCCCAUACCCACAGGGGACCAGAAUACCCGAACUCGUAAAGUUUUCGGGUGAUGAAGAAAAGAGCACGCGUGAGCACAUAGACCAGUUCUUAGCACAGUUAGGAGAAUUGGCCGACACCGAAGCAUUCCGUGUACGUUUAUUUUCAUUAUCUUUAACAGGGACUGCAUUCACAUGGUAUGCCAUGCUCCCUCCUAAUUCCAUUUUGUUGUGGGGAGAUUUAGAACAAAAAUUUCAUGAACAUUUCUUCUCUGGCAAUUAUGAGCUAGAUUUAGUAGACUUAGUGGCCCUACGACAAGAAAAGGAUGAAUCGGUUAGUGAUUACAUCCGAAGAUUCCGGAAUACGAGAAACCGAUGCUUUCAAAUUCAUUUAACAGAUAAACAACUGGCGGGAAUAGCCUUUGAUGGAUUGCGCUAUUAUUUAAAAGACAAAUUAGAAGGCAUCCAGUUCUUUACGCUAGCUCAGUUACAUCAGAAAGCUUCGGCUUGUGAAAGCCGAAGCAAAGAACUAGUCAAAACGGUUCAUCAUAAUGUCCAUAUAGUAGAACACAAUCAAAGUAGUUCGGACGGUGAACCAAAGGAAAUUUACACUGCCGAAAUAGUUUGGCCUGAGCAGGCCAAAUCUUCGGCUUGCUCCUCCUUGCAGCCAGUUCAAAAGAAACGACAGGAGGAGAUUAAGUUUACAUUUAAUGUUGGCAAAUGUGAUAAGAUAUUCGAUGAAUUACUAAAAAUGGUAACAUUAGAAUUGAUUAUAUCGUUCCACCUGUCGACGAACUAAAGUGUCGCGCAUACUGCAAGUGGCACAACUCAUUUUCCCAUGCCACUAAAGAUUGUAAUGUGUUCCGACGGCAAAUCCAAUCGGCCAUUAGAGAGGGACGAUUGAAAUUUCAGGAGGACACAGAGCCCUUUCCAAUGAAUAUGAUCGACUUCAACGGAAAAAGGGUCCUAAUUCGGCCCAGCACAGCCGAUAAGGGCAAAGACAAAGAAGUCAUCAUCGGCAACUUACGGGAGGCCGAUGGAAACAACAAAAUCUCUUGCAGGAAAGUGGUGGCCGAGAAGACUCCUGAUGGAGGAGAGACACUGAAAGUGACCAUCACAAACUCCGACACUGGGGGGCAAGCGCAGACGAGGGGAUAUGUGCGAGAACCCAUACUACGCAUCGCGGACGGUCCGGUGCCCAGGCGCGGACGGUCCGUAACAUCACCGGACGGUCCGGAGCGUUCCAGCGGACGGUCCGGCAACGCCGAAGAGCCGCGGCGACCACGUACCUUCAAACCACGACGACCAGAAAUAGGUACGUGGAAAACUAACACGUUCAAGGCAACUGGACAAUUGGUAAAAUCCAGCCUGACCUUUGAUCAAUUAUUGUCUAAAUAUGUGAAAAAGAAGGCUGGCCCUAGCGACCGGCCACCAAAACGACCUCGCUUACCCACCCAGGUGCGACAGCAGGUUAGGCCGAUUGGACCACCACACCAAUCGGAAAGGACGGGAGGUCAUAAUGUUCAAUUAAGACCUAACGUACCUGCAUGGGCACCUCCACCACCGUAUUCACCUAUGCCAUAUCCAUACACAUACAUACCUCCACUAUAUGUCCCAAAUCAAAUGUGGGGCAUGCCACCAUAUCCAUUUGGGAUGCCACAGUACCCCGCUUGGGGGGCACCUCAAACAUCUGUAUUCAACAGGUUGACAUCUCCAGUACAAGACCGAUUGAGAGCCCCUCAAUCUGGUCCACGAGCACAGGCCCAGCAAGAUUGUCGAACAACUCGCCCCCAAAGGCUGACUAAUCCAGCAGGGGGGCAUACAGCUACAACCUCCAACAGUAUGAAAAAAGGAGACGUCAUUAAAAUAGGAACGUCAUAUGUCGUCGUACAACAAAAUAACGAAGGGCCGAUGAUUUUUGGUGAAUCGGCCAACACAAACAAAAAAGGAGGUACGGCUGCCAACAAAACAGCCGAUCCAAAAUACUCCAUGCCCCGAUGGUGCCCAUCGGGAUUGACACGAUCGCAAAAGCGAAAAUUACAGCGCCUUAGAGCAAAGGAGAAUCAGGAGAAGGAGGCAGAAAAAAUAUUCAAUGACACACAUCCGCAGUAUCCACCACCACAAAAGAGAUGGAGACCAAAGGCCGUUGAAGAAAAUCAAACGGCCACAGAGACAGAAAAUAAAACGACAAAUGUGCAGCUCUUUGCAGGUAUGACAGACAGUCCGGCUAUAAAGACCGGACCAACCGAACAGGGCGCGGACCGUCCGACCACUGAGGCCGAUUUAUCCGCAAUACACCAUGACACCUGCAACGACGUACCAACACACAUGGAGGAAGACGACCUGCAAGGAGAAGAUCUGGUCGACUACGAAGCUACGCCAGAACACUAAGAAAAUUAGGAAAGCAAGGUGACGAAUUGGUCAGGACCAGCAUGGCGCUUGGCGGUAUUGGGACUAACAGUUCGAUCAAAGCUAAAGGGGUCACGUCCGUUGAGUCAACCAUCAGGACUAAGGCCAUUGCGUAUUAUCCUAGUAAGUGUCAAAAUGUCUAAGAAAACCGAUGUGAUCACAUCGAGUUAGUUGCUUUUGGAUCGCUCAGCUCCACCAAAAGGCAGGGGGGCAUAUGUUCGACACCAAAAAGAGGGCGGACGGUCCGGCCCUGAGGCCGGACGGUCCGGGGUCAGGACGGUCCGCGCCUAUGGGCCGGACGGUCCGCGUAAGCGCAGAACAGAUUAGGGUUCCGAGUUUUUUUGCUAUGUUUGUUGCCGAGAAUCUCGGGAUAAGCUCGGAAAUUAGUUUGUAAAGGGUCCAAUCCCCCUCCUCUAUAAAUAGAGAGGUAUACGGCCGAUUUAUCAUCAUCAAUCGAAUCAAUACAACUUCUAUUCGCAUUUAUUUUCCAGUACAAUUAGGAGUAGCUCUAGUUUAGUUCUAGUUUAGCCUCUUGAUCCCCAAAUUCUUCGCCUCUCUUCGAUUCUACGCCGAUUAGAGGAAUCUAGGUCGGCCGGCCCGAGCCUAGACAACCCCUAGGAUCUCUCCUCCCCGACGGGGUCCCUCCCGGGAGCGAGAUUCAGGCCGCCACCGGCGACUUCUGCCGCCCCUGCGCACGCGCGGACCGUCCGGCCGUCAGGCAGGAAACCCUAACCCCUGCGCCAGGUCGCGGACCGUCCGGCCCCAGGCCGCGGACCGUCCGCGCCUGACCAGAGAGCACCGCCGCCGGUUCUUCUUAAGUAUUUGGCGCUCCGAAAAGGCGUCAACAGAUAUGAUUUAUUUUUCUGCUUUUCUUUUAAUUAGGGCCAGUUUGAAGACAAGAGAAUUAAGAGGGAUUUGGAGAGGGUUGAGUGGAAAUGAACUAAUUUCAUUCUAAGUCCCCUCUAAUCUUUCUCAAUUCUCUUGUCACCUAACAUCAAGAGUGGGGAAAGAACAGUUUCAACAACUGUUCACAGGGGAAGAGAAGGACUAGCUGGGGAGACGGCACCGCAGUCCACGAGGGCGGCGUCGGAUCCAAUUGGCACGAUCGUCUCCUUCGUAUCGGUCGGCAACCUCCGCCAUUAAGAUGCUCUCGAGCACACUCACGGGGCGCGAGCAAAGGAGCUCUGACACGCCACCAUCCACGACGCUACAGCCCAACGGCCCUCUGCUCGUCUACUUUUUGCACAAAAGCAUGCGUCGGCGGGAUUGCCUCACCGGCUUUGCUAGUCGUCGCGUGCACUCUUAUACGUCCCCCGGCCGCGGCCGCCACCUAGUAUGCCGGCGAUUCAUGGUCACGCGCAGUAGUUACACUUCUGCUCUAUCUGGCUCGCGUCGUAAUCCAUGGAUCAUACCAUCUCCAAGCGCGCCACGGAGAGCCAGUGCAACAAUGCCGACGGGCAGCCGCCACCGCUGCUCGACUCGCCGCUCCCCACGCCUCGCCGGUCGUGCACCUCUGUCGACGCGUUACGAAUUCGCUGCCGCCGCGACGCAUCGCCGCUGCGGACGCAUGUGCCGUUCUCCUGGGAGAGCUCCCCGGGCGUGCCAAAGAACAGCGGGUGCGGCAGGGACACGCACAAGAAGGCGCAAGCGAUGCCGCCGCCGAGGCCGCCGCCCGGGCGCCUACGACAGCCGUACCUCGCCAGGAACUUGUACUACGGAAACACGAGCGAGGCGAGCAGCGACGACGACGACGACAACAGGUCCUUCUCCGACACACUGGACAGGAUCUCCUCGCCCGAGCGGACCGGGUCGUUCGACCGGGUCACGUCGAAGCGCUUCGAGGACAUCUUCGUCGGCCGCGCCACGAGCUUUGCCAAGGACCGGACCCAACACCCCGGCGUGGAAGCCACCGACUUGGCGGCCUCGGGCGGGCAUCCGAGGCAACCGCGUCGGGACAGCACGCGCCGCAGCCACGAUGAGGACCGUCGGUGGGUGCCUAGGCUCCUCAACGACAGCGUCCCCAUGCAGCUGAUGCAGCGGAUCAAAAUGGAUGCGGACGCCGAGGAGAUGACCCCAAGAGCCUGUGGCCUCAUGAUGUUCUUCCCCUGGAGCGCAAAGCCGGUGGUCUACGGCUUCAGGAACCCGGCGGCGCAGCACGCAACAACGACGACGACGACUCACGCCGGAGCCGAUGUGCCUUCACCUUCGCACAGUCGCAGGGUCACCACCACCACCCUACGCGAUGUCAUUAAGCAAGAUAGCCAAGCCGUUAGCAGCGACAUGCCGCAGCCGCGCGGAGAAAAGAAGAGGGGCCGCAACGACUUGCCGAGCCGUCGAUGGGGCGUGUCGUCGUUGCUUGACACGAGCAAGAAGUACUGCACUGACGCCCGGAAGGCUCUGAGCAAGCUCUCCAUCGGACUAGGAGCGGACGGCGGCAGCCCCAGGGUGAACAGGAGUGGCAAGCUGCAUGAUGGUUUCUCGUCAACGCCGGCGACGCCCGCAAAGUUGACGCAGCUGAAGGCUAACAGAAACUGAGGUGGCUUGAGUGCAGAAAUUCUCUGCACAUAUAGGUAUGCACAUUCUAUGAUCUGAUGUCCUGAUAGAUCGAAUAAAAUAAAGAGUAUACUGUAUAUUUUGUGACGUCUACUGGGUAAUCCUGUUACUGUUGGCGUAAUGUGCACAAACUGUCAUUUGAGCCUGUUAUUAGUUCUCCGAUCAUAAACAAAUGUAAGAAAUACAACGUUCCUCUCUUGUACAGUACAUGGUCAUUGAUAUAAUGAGAUCAACGCGUGGUAGGCCAGAACAAGUAUCAGCGAGCAUCUCCAAUAGGGUAACUUAAAAUAGUGCCCCAAAAAUUAAAAUAUUAUAUUAUUUAAAGUGUUUAUGGCAUUAAAAAUAAAUUACGAUGAUAAUGAUGUAGAAAGAUAAGGAUAGGGCACUAGUUUAAGGUGUAGUAUAUUUGGGUCACUCAAUAGUGUGUCCUAUUUUCUUGAUAAAAAAUUAUAAAAUAGAGCACUGUUGGAACGAUUUUUUAUAUGUUGAGCUCUAUAUUUCAAAAUAGGGCGCCGAUUUAAGGCAAUGUUGGAGAUGCUUUUAGGCGCUACAAUCAAACUAGGCACGUGUGGAUAGAACGGACUACGGAGUCCAUAUUCGAGGUGGACCAGAUCGAGAAGAUACCUCUAAAGAGACAACAUACAAUACGAGGUAGGGAUCCAUGCCAUGUGGCAAUGUGAGUGGCCCCUUACCACUCAAGUCUUCUCUAGGCUCCCUUAUGCAACGACCUCUAGUGGGGUCCGGUUGCACCAUGUAGCCAUACUGGCCUCUUGCCCUUUGUGGACUCGGGUGUUGCCACGUGUCCCUGGUGUCCCAUUGGAUAGCUCAAACUCCCUUGAGAGGACUCCGAGCUCCUCUAGGAAGAGUCCCUUAAGCAUUCGCUCUGUCGACUACUAUGCCGACUACUAUACAAGCUGAGAGCCCUAUGCUCUCGGGCUCCGGAAGGCUCCAACUAGUUGCGGGGUAUGAGCACGUCGUGUGUCCUUCGGGCUCCACGAGGACCCUGGUUAAAGGUGGCUCCCGACGACCCUAAUCGGGAAGGUUUCCAAUGCGCCACGUGGAUCGAUCGCCCACUCCACGAUUGGUCAUAGAGUUGGUAGAGUCAGAAGACGUGGCACACCUGUUCGAGGAACAUGCAUGACUCUAGCAGCAUCGUGCCCACUUCCUAGUUGCCAGACCCGAACUUCCAGGACGUGACACCAGUGUGGCACUGUGACAGCGUGGACGUCAUGUGCCAUGGCCAACCACUUCCCUUUUUGCGGUGUGGACGAUGUGCUCGUCGACCUACCACACUAUCGAUCUCCGGUGUGCACAUCCUCGGUCUUCUGCAACAUGCGCACGCUUCGCACAUGCUCGUGUCAUCUGCUAUGUGCAAGGUGUGCAUCUAUAUGAUCUCGGACAUGUAUACAAAUCUUUAGACUGACGUCAAUAGGAUUUCUAUUAUUGUAGGAUUGGACAGGCACCAACCUACUAGCCCCACUUGUCAUUGUAACCCUAUCCCUUUUGGUCAAUAAAAAGAAGAGAGAGGCACCAUUAUAAAGAUUCAGUUUCCAUUGUUUUCAUCGUAGUCGUGUGUCAACACUUUUUGCAAAAAAACUCUUUAUAAUUCUUUGUAAUCAACCUGCGGUUCAAGCUAGCCUCUCUGUUCUGGUUCUCUCUCCACUUUUGCAAAAAAAAAUCUUAUAUUUCUUUAUAAUCAACAUACGGUUCAAACCUUACUUACCCUGGCUGCCUUCCCAAUUUUGCAAAAAAAAAGAACUCUUAUAUAUUUUUUUUAUAAUCAUCAUGUGAUUCAAAGCCGUUGCAAGGCACAGACAUUGCAGUAGUGUUUCUUGAGGAGGGAAUUUUGUGAGUCAGAAUUGUGCCGCUGUGCAGUCUUCUUUUGUGCUCGUGGUCGUGGAGUAGCCACGGUGGAACCCAGCCUGGUGAUGUGAAGAAGAACCCAUUAUCUAGCGGCCGACUGCUAUUGUUGAAACGAGCUAGAAAAGGACUAGCGUACCUAGGGAUGGCAAUGGGUACGGGUAUGGGUAAAUAACCGCGGAUAAUUAUCCAUUGGAUAUGGGUAUGGUGGAAUUUGAUAUCCGCGGGUACGGUUAUGAAUAUAAUAAGGUAUCCGCGGAUAUUUUUUUCGCGGGUAUGGAUAUCCAGUAUCCAUACCCGUUACCCAAUGGAUAUCUAACAUGUGGGCCAUCCGGAUUUAUAUAUUAUCAUAAAUUCUUAUUUUUUCAAUUUUUAUCCAUAACAUGUUGUUUGGUGCUGAAAUUAUCAUUUAAUGUUAUUGGAAUGAUAAUUAUUUUGAAAUGUAAUAAAAUUGUUGUUUGAUGUUUAAUGCUAAAAUUGUAGUGGGCGGGCGGGUAACGGGUAUCCACUGGAUAGCGGAUACCCAGCGGGUACGGGUAUGGAUACAGAUCCAUACCCACGAGCGUUUAUGGGUAUGGGUAUGGGUUGAGUUUUGUCUCGUGGGUAUGGAUUCGCGAACUAUAUAUCCGUGUACUAAGGCUAUUCACAAUGGAGGUUUCAUGGGGUGUUUCAUGUAUUAAUUAGCCUGCCACAUCAGCUAUUUUGAUGACAUGUCACAUCAUUUAAGAAGAAAGAGUUUCAUAGAGUUUCAUGGGGAUGAAACCAUGUUAACUCGUUUCCAAGAUCUUGGAAACUGUGUGAAACCUCCACUGAGAGUGUUUUGUUUCAUCUUCAUAUAAUUGAGUAAAUCCUAUUGGUUAUUUAUAUGCAGCAUUUAAGAAGUAUGUUGACUAUUUCAGAUGAAACUCUCUAUUGAGAGAGGGUAUUUCAUUCAUCCAUAAAUCUGAUGUGGCAUUUUUGGAAACAGUGACAUGAAAUCCCCAUUGUGAAUAGCCUAACCGCCCGAUUGCCAUCCCUAAGCGUACCUGAACCUUCGGUUCCUUUCACCGCAUUACGUGAACGGCGGUUUACCCGCUUGACCUUCGGUUUCAUUCAGCGCCUACAUUCUCUCUGGACCUCACGCGGUCACGCCCUCUGCCAUUUAUGGAGCGGAAGUCCACACCAAAAUACUCCUAGAAACAGAGCAGCAUUACGAGGCCAAAAGUAAGCUGCUGCUGUUCUUCGACCCGUCCCGUUCGUUCGAUUCGUUCUUUCCGCCAUGGAGGCUCGGAGGAAGCCCGCGGUGUGCUGUGCCCUUCUUGUGCUGCUCAUCGUCGCCUCCAGUGAGCCUUGCUGGCUUGCUGCCAUAAAAUGCUCUCCUUUCCUUUGCACCUUGCUCCUACAUCCGGGCGGCGUGUUCGGAUGGCAAGCUCGGUUUUCAUGUGAUUUCCUGCCGUCCUUUCUCUCGCAGGCGCAACGGUGUCGACUGCUCAUGACGAGAGCUGCUGGAAGGACGACGACCACCACCCUAUCUGCUUUCCCGAAGACUGCGUGGCGACCUGCCAGGAUCACGGCCACGCGGACGGCCGCUGCAACUGGGCAUGGUCGUGGAGGCCGUAUUGCCAGUGCCUGUUGGCGGACUGCCAAUAGGCGCGAACAGCUGCGUCGCAUGGCGUCCUGGCUGCCUCGCCGGCCGAUGAAGGAUGAACGGUUGCGGCCGAUGAUCGAUGUGUCCGUCGGCAUGUCGAUCACUCAUUGAAACCCCCUCUAAUCCUGUGCGGUAUUAUUUUCAUGGCACCUGUGGCCAUUAAAGAUCCAUGGACACGUACAGUACCAAUACAUGAUUCUUCACAGUUCAACUAUCGAUGAUACUGUUCAUGGAUUUUCAUUCCGAUACAAACUCAUUUCGUGGUUAUUUGGAUGUCUUAAAUUAAAUACAGUUUUAGCAAAAAAAACAUGUUUUCACAG
rnacentral:lncRNA from 1 species